rnacentral:rRNA from 1 species
GACGAACGCUGGCGGCGUGCUUAACACAUGCAAGUCGAACGGAAAGGCCCUGCUUUUGUGGGGUGCUCGAGUGGCGAACGGGUGAGUAACACGUGAGUAACCUGCCCUUGACUUUGGGAUAACUUCAGGAAACUGGGGCUAAUACCGGAUAGGAGCUCCUGCUGCAUGGUGGGGUUUGGAAAGUUUCGUCGGUUGGGGAUGGACUCGCGGCUUAUCAGCUUGUUGGUGGGGUAGUGGCUUACCAAGGCUUUGACGGGUAGCCGGACUGAGAGGGUGACCGGCCACAUUGGGACUGAGAUACGGCCCAGACUCCUACGGGAGGCAGCAGUGGGGAAUAUUGCACAAUGGGCGGAAGCCUGAUGCAGCAACGCCGCGUGCGGGAUGACGGCCUUCGGGUUGUAAACCGCUUUCGCCUGUGACGAAGCGUGAGUGACGGUAAUGGGUAAAGAAGCACCGGCUAACUACGUG